rnacentral:rRNA from 1 species
AGAGUUUGAUCCUGGCUCAGGAUAAACGCUGGCGGCGUGCCUAACACAUGCAAGUCGAACGCCCUUGCUGACUUCGGUGAGCGAGGGAGUGGCGGACGGGUGAGUAACACAUGGGUACCUGCCUUUCAGUGAGGAAUACCGGCGAGAAAUCGCCGACAAGACCGCAUACGCUUCCCUUGUGAGAGGGAAGGAAAGUUCUUUCUUCGGGAGGGACGCUGAAAGAGGGGCCUGUGGCCGAUUAGCUAGUUGGGGGGGUAACGGCCUCCCAAGGCGACGAUCGGUAGCUGGUCUGAGAGGACGAUCAGCCACACUGGGAUUGAGAACGGCCCAGACUCCUACGGGGGGCAGCAGUGAGGAAUUUUCCGCAAUGGACGAAAGUCUGACGGAGCAACGCCGCGUGCAGGAGGAAGGUUUUCGGAUCGUAAACUGCUUUUCUGAGGGACGAGCAAGGACGGUACCUCAGGAAGAAGCCCCGGCUAACUACGUGCCAGCAGCCGCGGUAAUACGUAGGGGGCGAGCGUUGUCCGGAUUUAUUGGGCGUAAAGGGCACGCAGGCGGUCUACCGCGUUCGGAGUGACAGCUUCUGGCUUAACCGGGAGAGGGUUCUGAAAACGGGUAGACUUGAGGGCCAAAGAGGAACACAGAAUUCCGGGUGUAGUGGUGAAAUGCGUAGAUAUCCGGAGGAAUACCAAAGGCGAAGGCAGUGUUCUGGGUGGCAACUGACGCUGAGGUGCGAAAGCCAGGGGAGCGAACGGGAUUAGAUACCCCGGUAGUCCUGGCCGUAAACGAUGACCACUAGGCGUGUGGGGUAUCGACCCCCUACGUGCCGUCGUUAACACACUAAGUGGUCCGCCUGGGGAGUACGGUCGCAAGAUUAAAACUCAAAGGAAUUGACGG